rnacentral:rRNA from 1 species
AUGGCGUCGCCGAUGGACAUGCUUUUCAACCAGGAGCCGGCGGCGGCCAUGACGAAUGAGGCGGAAGGAAGGGUUGAAGGGUACUUCCCGAGCUCCAGCCAUGGUUUUCGGCACUUCCAGCAAGUUGGCACCACUCCGAUCGGAGUUCCCGACAUGGGAUCGCCCAUUUCCGGCUUCAGAAUGUCUCCCUUCACCUUCGACAUGCCGGAGGGUCCCCUCCCGGUUGCCGGUUAUGGCACUGGUGUGGUCCCGGUGGAGAUCCCCGCGGUCUGGCAAAAGAAGCAUUCCUUGAAGAAUAGCAGAGCGAUGGCGCCUUCCAAAGGAGCGUGGACACAGGAAGAGGACAAACUUCUCAAGAUAUUGGUGGCUCGUGAUGGGAAUCGGAGAUGGGAGGAGAUUUCAAAACACCUCCCGGGACGAAUUGGGAAGCAGUGUCGUGAGCGCUGGACAAAUCACCUGCGGUCCGACCUCAAGAAUGAAGCCCCGUGGACCGAGGAGGAGGACAGGAAGCUGAUCGAGGAGCACAAGACCUUAGGGAACAGUUGGUCAAAGAUCGCAAGACGCCUCUUCGGUCGAUCGGAGAACUCCAUCAAGAAUCAUUGGUACGCGACAAAGCGGGGCCUGACAUCGAAGAGACGGUUCAGGAAGCGCCGGUUCUCCCUCCUCGAGGAGUACAUCCGCAGCACAAUCAUGGGUGAUAAGAGCACGGCAUCACCAUUGCAGUCAUCCGCUCCGCCGCUCGGCCUCGGGAGUGGCGGCCAGGUUGUUCCAAGUGCCUCAACAAUGCUGGCCUUCUCCAGCCUACCCGGGAUGGGUACGUACCUCCACCCAGGCAAUGCACCUGGAUCAUCAUCCCAGGGAGCGACCAUGAACUUGAGCUCGCUGCUACCAAAACUCAAUACCUACGGCGGUGAGAUGCAUCAGCGAUACGACUCCUCCCCGUCCUUCCCGCCCAACAAUAUGCUGCACUAUGGACCACCGCCAACAUUUCAGCAAAUGUUUAGCCAGUGCCUACAGGGGCAGGAUGCAUGCUCGAACAUGAACCUGUUCCCGUUACUCAAGAGUCUCGAUCUUGGUGGCAACUACUACUGCAGUGAGACGGGCCGCACAAGCAUCGGUGGCAUCGAUGAUCCGGACGACAUCAAUGUCGUCUAG